CACUAAUCCCGUCUCUUCGUUGCCCUCCUGUUGUCUUCCUGAGGUCUCGUGGCUCUUCAUCUCCUACAACUCCCAGGAAUCCUAUACAGAGGAAGGCGAGGUCGGGGAAGUAGACUUAGUGGACCGACCAACAAAGAUGCAUUAGAGAAACUGUCAAAAGUUCACCCAGUUCCUUCACUCAUCCUGCAGUGGCCCUAAGAUAAACUCAACUCUUAUCAAGAAGUGAAGAACAAGGGACAGACUGAUGACAGAGGCUACAUCACCACCACCACCAAAUGACUGAGGCUACAUCACAACCAACAACAGAUGACAGAAGGCUACAUCACCACCACCACCAGAUG